GACGAACGCUGGCGGCGUGCUUAACACAUGCAAGUCGAACGGGCCUUGUCCCCUUUUUUUUUGGGGGUGGGGUUAGCGGCGAACGGGUGAGUAACACGUGAGUAACCUGCCCCUCACUUCUGGAUAACCGCUUGAAAGGGUGGCUAAUACGGGGUGUUCUGGCCUGCUCGCAUGGGUGGGUUUGGAAAGAUUCGACCGGUUUUGGUUGUUUUGGUGGGGGAUGGGCUCGCGGCCUAUCAGCUUGUUGGUGGGGUGAUGGCCUGCCAAGGCUUUGACGGGUAGCCGGCCUGAGAGGGUGGGCGGUCACACUGGGACUGAGACACGGCCCAGACUCCUACGGGAGGCAGCAGUGGGGAAUAUUGCACAAGGGGCGCAAGCCUGAUGCAGCGACGCCGCGUGAGGGAUGGAGGCCUUCGGGUUGUGAACCUCUUUCGCCAGUGAAGAAGGUCCUGCUCUUUGUGGUGGGGUUGACGGUAGCUGGGUUAAUGAAGCGCCGGCUAACUACGUG
rnacentral:rRNA from 1 species